GACCAUAUCACAUUGAAACAUUGGUUCUUGUACAAUCACUGAAGUUAAGCAACAUUGAACAUGGUCAGUACCUAGUUGGGUGACCACUUGGGAAUAUCAGGUGCUGUAAG